rnacentral:lncRNA from 1 species
GCUUGUCUUUCUUCAUAUCUCCUCUAGCACAAGGCAUGGGGUGUGGCAAGCAUUGAUUCCUGCUUUCUACUCUUCAAUUUUUCUAGAAAUGGAGAGUCGCUGCCUCUACAUGCAGAUGGUUUUUGGAAGGUGAAAUUUUAAUGGUAACCUUUGUGAGACAUUCCCUUCUGAAUGAGAAAAAUGUCUUCUUCUAAGGGUCCAUUGACUUUCAUGGAUGUGGCUAUAGAGUUCUCUAAGGAGGAGUGGGAAUGUCUGGAUUCUGCUCAGAGAGUUUUGUAUAGAGAUGUCAUGUUGGAGAAUUACAAUAACCUGGUUUCUGUGGGUGUUGCUGUUUCAAAGUCAGAGGUAAUCUGUCUUAAACAAAACAAAGAACCAUGGAUUGCUGGUAGAGAAGAUACAGAUGGAAAAAAAACAGGUUUGUCAUGUGAUUAUACCAAGAAUCUACUUCCCAAAGGACAUACACAGGAUUACUUCCAGAACAAAAUAACACGAAGUUUUCAUACUACAGAGAAAUGUUGUAUAAAUGAAAAUAAGAAUGCCAUUUUAAGUGAAUCGUCAAUUCAUAGCUGGUAUGCUGGACAAUGGAUUAAUGGAGAGUCCAAGAGAUAUAUCUAUGAUACAUAUAGGGAUGCCUCAAAUGAAUCAUUAAAUUUCAAGAAAG